UACGUAGGGUGCAAGCGUUGUCCGGAAUUAUUGGGCGUAAAGAGCUCGUAGGCGGUCUGUCGCGUCGGCUGUGAAAACCCGGAGCUCAACUCCGGGCCUGCAGUCGAUACGGGCAAACUAGAAUUCGGUAGGGGAGACUGGAAUUCCUGGUGUAGCGGUGAAAUGCGCAGAUAUCAGGAGGAACACCGGUGGCGAAGGCGGGUCUCUGGGCCGAUAUUGACGCUGAGGAGCGAAAGCGUGGGGAGCGAACAGG
rnacentral:rRNA from 1 species